rnacentral:rRNA from 1 species
UAGGGAAUCUUCGGCAAUGGGGGCAACCCUGACCGAGCAACGCCGCGUGAGUGAAGAAGGUUUUCGGAUCGUAAAGCUCUGUUGUAAGAGAAGAACGUGUGUGAGAGUGGAAAGUUCACACAGUGACGGUAACUUACCAGAAAGGGACGGCUAACUACGUGCCAGCAGCCGCGGUAAUACGUAGGUCCCGAGCGUUGUCCGGAUUUAUUGGGCGUAAAGCGAGCGCAGGCGGUUUAAUAAGUCUGAAGUUAAAGGCAGUGGCUUAACCAUUGUUCCCUUUGGGAACUGUUAAACUUGAGUGAAGAAGGGGGGAGUGGAAUUCCAGGGGUAGCGGUGAAAUGCGUAGGUAUAUGGAGGAACACCGGUGGCGAAAGCGGCUCUCUGGUCUGUAACUGACGCUGAGGCUCGAAAGCGUGGGGAGCAAACAGG